UAUUUGGGCUUAUAAGUCUGGGUACUUUUUGGUCUGUAAAUGACCAUUUUGCCCUCGAAUGUGUUGAUGAUGAUCUUCAUCUUCUCCGUCGUGAGACAACAACCUCACUGUCUCCAAAUUGAAAUUGAGAAGUACAAAGAAGACGAUAACUACCCAUAACCCAUGAUAUGAAAAUCCAAAUUAAAAAUAAACUCAUUAUCGGAACUUCCUAUAAUUACUAAACCCAUAACUCCACAAACGAUAAAUACCCAGAUUUAAUUUUGAAUCAAUCAACAAUCAAAUCUCGUUUCCUUCUCCUCCGAUGAUUC